AUUCCUAUCUACUUCAAUUAACGCGUAACAAAGAAUCUCAACAAUUGACCUUUGAUUGUUUAGCUCUUUUAUUGUUUUGCAAAGAGUGCGCUUUUUGAUAAAUUGGAAAAUGUUUUAUGAUUCUGUGAGCUAUUAUCGUUUGCCUCAACAUUUCGAGGAGAGAUUGGAUGGAUGUGCGGGAUUCGUGGAUCCAUACAAUUUGGAUCAUUUUAAAUAUCGCGGCAAGAAAAAAGGCCUCUUGGAGCAGGAUGGUCCCGCACAAAGUGGAUUUAAAAAAUCUCUUAUGGAAAAUCAUAUUAAUACUGCUUAUGAACAGGCUUUGAAGAAGAUUCGGCCAUUUUAUGAGAUUUCGUGCGAUCGCUUUAACAGUCAGCGAUUAGUUGAAGAUAAGGAGGACAAUGAAUUGAAUGAUGAUAUUAUGGGUCUUCCAGCAAAUAUCAAAAUUAAUAAAGAAUUCAGUAAGCACGAAGAUAGCACAGAAAAUAAGAAUAGCAUUGGAUAUACUAUUGGUCAUGCCAUUGGAUAUACUAUCGGAUGUGCUAUUAGAGAUAAAAAAGCAUUGAAAAAAGCCGGAUCUUUCUUCAAGGCAGUAUGGAAACCAGUGAAGAGAUCAGCACAGAAAGCAUGGAGAAACAUGAAGAAUGGCGAAACUGAAUACGUUCAGUUUGAAUAAGGAUCUCUUCCUCCAUCAUUGCAUCAAGUAUCCAUCUACUUGAUUUGGUCCGAAUUCGUCUCGGAUUUGAGAAGAAAGUUUUAUUAAAAAUAUCGAAAAAAAUUAUAAGAUAAAUCUUUAUAAAU
rnacentral:misc_RNA from 1 species